rnacentral:rRNA from 1 species
GAUGAACGCUGGCGGCGCGCCUAACACAUGCAAGUCGAACGAUUAAAGCACCUUCGGGUGUGUAUAAAGUGGCGAACGGCUGAGUAACACGUGGGCAACCUGCCCCUUUCAUUGGGAUAGCCACGGGAAACCGUGGAUAAUACCGAAUACUUCGAGACUUCCGCAUGGAAGACUCGAGCAAGCUCCGGCGGGGAGGGAUGGGCCCGCGGCCUGUUAGCUUGUUGGUGGGGUAACGGCCUACCAAGGCAAUGAUGGGUAGCUGGGUUGAGAGACCGACCAGCCAGAUUGGGACUGAGACACGGCCCAGACUCCUACGGGAGGCAGCAGUGGGGAAUCUUGCACAAUGGGCGAAAGCCUGAUGCAGCGACGCCGCGUGCGGGAUGAAGGCCUUCGGGUUGUAAACCGCUUUCAGCAGGGACGAGGCGAAAGUGACGGUACCUGCAGAAGAAGCCCCGGCUAACUACGUG